rnacentral:rRNA from 1 species
AACGAACGCUGGCGGCAUGCCUAACACAUGCAAGUCGAACGAGACCUUCGGGUUUAGUGGCGCACGGGUGCGUACCGCGUGGGAACCUGCCCUUAGGUUCGGAAUACCUCCCCGUAAGGGGUGCUAAUACCGGUUAAUGUCUUCGGACCAAAGAUGUAUGGCGUUUGGAUGGGCCCGCGUUGGAUUAGCGAGUUGGUAGGGUAAUAGCCUGCCAUGGCGACGAUGCAUAGCUGGUCGGAUAGGAUGAUCAGCCAGACUUGGACUGAGACACGGCCCAGACCCGUACGGAAGGGAGGAGUGGAGAAUAUUAUAGGAUGAGCGAUAGCCUGAUCCAGCAAUGCCGCGUGAGUGAUGAAUGCCGUAGGAUUGUAAAUCUCUUUUACCCGGGAUGAGAAUGACAGUACCGGGAAAAGAAGCUCCGGCUAACUCCGUG